GGCGAGAUGGCCGAGCGGUCUAAGGCGCCAGACUAAGGAUCAGGGUAUCUGAUACCCAUUUAAAUCUGGUCUUUCGGGGCGUGGGUUCGAAUCCCACUCUCGUCA